rnacentral:lncRNA from 1 species
CCGAGUUACAGUGGUUUCCCCAGAUCCUUGCCAAGAGAUCUGACUACGCUUUCAGGGAGUGAUUGGAGGUCCUCAGAGUGGUGGUGAACCCCGUGUGGAAAUCUCAGAGCUGCCCAGUCAAGCUGCCCAGGGCCCCGUGCCUGGAGGACCGUGUGCACCUGGGCUGCCAAGUGAAGCGUAUCCUGAACAUUACCUCAUGAAGAGAGACUUUCUGUGCCAGUCAGUUGGAGGUUAUAGUUGGAAGUUAUCUUGGAGAUCAUCUAAGACCACUUCCUCCGGGUACCAGUGAGAGACUGAGAUUAGAGACCAAAGUGAUGCCUGUGGAUAAAAAGCCCACCAGUGGCCGGCUCUCCUGCAUCCUCAAAACUUUACUCCCUCGGUUGGUCCUCAGUCGAAAACACCUCUUAAAAUCUAUCCAGUUUAACAAAUAUCUUUCGAGGGCUGACUGCCAAGUGCUGUGUGAAGCUCCCUGGAGGCACAUAAAUGUGAAUAAGCCCUGAUUAAUGUUCAGAGAAGCUCACAGUUCAGAGAGGAGCCAAUUGUGCCUGGAGAUGCUUGGACUACACACUGGAAAAUGCAAAUAUGGAGGGAAAAAGGCAAGAGAGUAACUACUGCAGGUGCUCUGAGCUGUGUAUUUCCAAGACAGCUUCACUCCAUAGGAUUUGUGUGUCCUUCUUCCUUAGGAUCGUCUCCCUUUGGAGCCUGGCGGUGGAUGCAGGGAACACAACCUCUCCAGAGCUACUUGAGGCCCAUUAGGAAUGCCUUACAGACUUUGGGCCAGCCCUUUCCUCCAGUGUCUCUCAGCUUUUCACGUUCUAGUUCUCAGAAGAUGUGCUUCAAAACCACAGGUCUGUUUCAUCCUAGUCAGUGUUGCAGAUGUUUCUCAAGCCUUGCAACAUAAAGAGUGUAUCUCUGACUUUGUCCUGAUGGGAAGCAUUGGAAGAGAACCACGAAAGCUAUGGAGAAGAAAGAUAUCGAAGACGUUCAUUCUAGUCGCUAAAGAUGAAGAAAAGCCUGAUGCAGAGAGGUAGAAAUUCCAAAGGGGUUUAGAGAGAUGCAUCUCAUUACCUCUGGUGUCUGUAUGAACUAUAAAGAUGAAUCUGAAACAAUCAAUGUGAGGCACCUGGAUGGCAACUAGCUCUUGAUAAUGGCUCAGGUUGUGAUCUUUUGGUUUGUGAGAUCAAGCUCCACAUGGGGCUUUGCACUGAGCAUGGAGUCUGCUUGGGAUUCUCUCUCUCUGUCUCUCUCCCUCUCUCUCUUUCUGUCUCCACCUGCUCAUGUACACAUGCAUGUGCUCUCUCUCAAAAUAAAUAAAUAAAAACUUUAAAAUAAUAAAAUAAAACAACC